rnacentral:rRNA from 1 species
AGCGAACGCUGGCGGCAGGCUUAACACAUGCAAGUCGAACGGGCAUAGCAAUAUGUCAGUGGCAGACAGGUGAGUAACGCGUGGGAACGUACCUUUUGGUUCGGAACAACACAGGGAAACUUGUGCUAAUACCGGAUAAGCCCUUACGGGGAAAGAUUUAUCGCCGAAAGAUCGGCCCGCGUCUGAUUAGCUAGUUGGUAGGGUAAUGGCCUACCAAGGCGACGAUCAGUAGCUGGUCUGAGAGGAUGAUCAGCCACAUUGGGACUGAGACACGGCCCAAACUCCUACGGGAGGCAGCAGUGGGGAAUAUUGGGCAAUGGGCGAAAGCCUGAUCCAGCCAUGCCGCGUGAGUGAUGAAGGCCCUAGGGUUGUAAAGCUCUUUUGUGCGGGAAGAUAAUGACGGUACCGCAAGAAUAAGCCCCGGCUAACUUCGUG